UACGUAGGGCGCAAGCGUUGUCCGGAAUUAUUGGGCGUAAAGAGCUCGUAGGCGGCUUUCUAAGUCAGGGGUGAAAUCCUGGAGCUCAACUCCAGAACUGCCUUUGAUACUGGAGAGCUAGAGUCCGGAAGAGGUGAGUGGAACUGCGAGUGUAGAGGUGAAAUUCGUAGAUAUUCGCAAGAACACCAGUGGCGAAGGCGGCUCGCUGGUCCGGUACUGACGCUGAGGUGCGAAAGCGUGGGGAGCAAACAGG
rnacentral:rRNA from 1 species